rnacentral:rRNA from 1 species
UAAGGAAUAUUGGGCAAUGGGCGAAAGCCUGACCCAGCCAUGCCGCGUGCAGGAUGACAGCUCUAGUAGUUGUAAACUGCUUUUAUACGGGAAGAAAAGCACCUACGUGUAGGUGUCUGACGGUACCGUAAGAAUAAGGACCGGCUAACUCCGUGCCAGCAGCCGCGGUAAUACGGAGGGUCCAAGCGUUAUCCGGAUUCAUUGGGUUUAAAGGGUGUGUAGGCGGAAAGGUCAGUCAGUGGUGAAAUCCUGCAGCUUAACUGUAGAACUGCCAUUGAUACUUCCUUUCUUGAGUCUAGUUGAAGUGAGCGGAAUGUGUCAUGUAGCGGUGAAAUGCAUAGAUAUGACACAGAACACCGAUUGCGAAGGCAGCUCGCUAAGCUAGUACUGACGCUGAGGCACGAAAGCGUGGGUAGCGAACAGG